UCUAGUUGGAGGGUGGUCGCCAGCCAGUC
rnacentral:sRNA from 1 species